rnacentral:rRNA from 1 species
GGAGUCGGGAACUACCAUGCAGUCGACGAUGAAGCCCAGCUUGCUGGGUGGAUUAGUGGCGAACGGGUGAGUAACACGUGAGUAACCUGCCCCCGACUCUGGGAUAAGCCCGGGAAACUGGGUCUAAUACCGGAUAUGACCUCGCACCGCAUGGUGCGGGGUGGAAAGAUUUAUCGGUGGGGGAUGGACUCGCGGCCUAUCAGCUUGUUGGUGAGGUAAUGGCUCACCAAGGCGACGACGGGUAGCCGGCCUGAGAGGGUGACCGGCCACACUGGGACUGAGACACGGCCCAGACUCCUACGGGAGGCAGCAGUGGGGAAUAUUGCACAAUGGGCGCAAGCCUGAUGCAGCGACGCCGCGUGAGGGAUGACGGCCUUCGGGUUGUAAACCUCUUUCAGUAGGGAAGAAGCGAAAGUGACGGUACCUGCAGAAGAAGCGCCGGCUAACUACGUGCCAGCAGCCGCGGUAAUACGUAGGGCGCAAGCGUUAUCCGGAUUUAUUGGGCGUAAAGAGCUCGUAGGCGGUUUGUCGCGUCUGCCGUGAAAGUCCGAGGCUCAACCUCGGAUCUGCGGUGGGUACGGGCAGACUAGAGUGAUGUAGGGGAGACUGGAAUUCCUGGUGUAGCGGUGAAAUGCGCAGAUAUCAGGAGGAACACCGAUGGCGAAGGCAGGUCUCUGGGCAUUUACUGACGCUGAGGAGCGAAAGCAUGGGGAGCGAACAGGAUUAGAUACCCUGGUAGUCCAUGCCGUAAACGUUGGGCACUAGGUGUGGGGGACAUUCCACGUUUUCCGCGCCGUAGCUAACGCAUUAAGUGCCCCGCCUGGGGAGUACGGCCGCAAGGCUAAAACUCAAAGGAAUUGACGGGGGCCCGCACAAGCGGCGGAGCAUGCGGAUUAAUUCGAUGCAACGCGAAGAACCUUACCAAGGCUUGACAUGUGCCAGACGCUCCA